GGGACAACCCGCCGAAAGGCGGGCUAAACCCGCGUACAUGCCACCGGGGCAUCCCGGAGGCAGGAAAGGCUUCGGCCGGACAGGGAUGGGCAUGCGGCGCAUUAGGCAGUAGGCGGGGUAACGGCCCACCUAACCGACGAUGCGUAGGGGUUCUGAGAGGAAGGUCCCCCACACUGGUACUGAGACACGGACCAGACUCCUACGGGAGGCAGCAGUGAGGAAUAUUGGUCAAUGGUCGGGAGACUGAACCAGCCAAGCCGCGUGAGGGAUGAAGGUACAGAGUAUCGUAAACCUCUUUUGUCAGGGAACAAAGGCGGGGACGUGUCCCCGGAUGAGUGUACCUGAAGAAAAAGCAUCGGCUAACUCCGUGCCAGCAGCCGCGGUAAUACGGAGGAUGCGAGCGUUAUCCGGAUUUAUUGGGUUUAAAGGGUGCGCAGGCGGUCUGUUAAGUCAGCGGUCAAAGCCCGGGGCUCAACCCCGGCCCGCCGUUGAAACUGGCAGUCUCGAGUUGGAGAGAAGUAUGCGGAAUGCGCGGUGUAGCGGUGAAAUGCAUAGAUAUCGCGCAGAACUCCGAUUGCGAAGGCAGCAUGCCGGCUCCACACUGACGCUGAGGCACGAAAGCGUGGGUAUCGAACAGGAUUAGAUACCCUGGUAGUCCACGCAGUAAACGAUGAAUGAAGGCUGUCCGGG
rnacentral:rRNA from 1 species